GACGAAGGAUGCAAAGCGUUAUCCGGAUUCACUGGGUUUAAAGGGAGCGUAGGUGGCCUUGUAAUCAGUGGUGAAAUCUCUCGGCUUAACUGAGAAAUUGCCAUUGAUAGCUUGCAGGGCUUGAGUACAGAUGCCGUUGGCGGAAUAUGACUGAGUGGUGAAAUACAUAGAGAUGUCAUAGACACCGAUUGCGAAGGCAGCUGACGAACUGUAACUGACACUGAGGCGUCGAAAGUGUGGGGAUCAAACAG
rnacentral:rRNA from 1 species